GACGAACGCUGGCGGCGUGCCUAAUACAUGCAAGUAGAACGCUGAAGGAGGAGCUUGCUCUUCUGGAUGAGUUGCGAACGGGUGAGUAACGCGUAGGUAACCUGCCUGGUAGCGGGGGAUAACUAUUGGAAACGAUAGCUAAUACCGCAUAACAGUAGAUGUUGCAUGACAUUUACUUAAAAGGUGCAAUUGCAUCACUACCAGAUGGACCUGCGUUGUAUUAGCUAGUUGGUGGGGUAACGGCUCACCAAGGCGACGAUACAUAGCCGACCUGAGAGGGGGAUCGGCCACACUGGGACUGGGACACGGCCCAGACUCCUACGGGAGGCAGCAGUAGGGAAUCUUCGGCAAUGGACGGAAGUCUGACCGAGCAACGCCGCGUGAGUGAAGAAGGUUUUCGGAUCGUAAAGCUCUGUUGUAAGGGAAGAACGAGUGUGAGAGUGGAAAGUUCACACUGUGACGGUAUCUUACCAGAAAGGGACGGCUAACUACGUG
rnacentral:rRNA from 1 species